rnacentral:rRNA from 1 species
UUAAGCGACUAAGCGUACACGGUGGAUGCCCUGGCAGUCAGAGGCGAUGAAGGACGUGCUAAUCUGCGAAAAGCGUCGGUAAGGUGAUAUGAACCGUUAUAACCGGCGAUGUCCGAAUGGGGAAACCCAGUGUGAUUCGUCACACUAUCGUUAACUGAAUACAUAGGUUAACGAGGCGAACCGGGGGAACUGAAACAUCUAAGUACCCCGAGGAAAAGAAAUCAACCGAGAUUCCCCCAGUAGCGGCGAGCGAACGGGGAGCAGCCCAGAGUCUGAAUCAGCUUGUGUGUUAGUGGAACGGUCUGGAAAGUCCGACGGUACAGGGUGAUAGUCCCGUACACCAAAAUGCACAGGUUGUGAACUCGAAGAGUAGGGCGGGACACGUGGUAUCCUGUCUGAAUAUGGGGGGACCAUCCUCCAAGGCUAAAUACUCCUGACUGACCGAUAGUGAACCAGUACCGUGAGGGAAAGGCGAAAAGAACCCCGGCGAGGGGAGUGAAAAAGAACCUGAAACCGUGUACGUACAAGCAGUGGGAGCACCUUCGGGUGUGACUGCGUACCUUUUGUAUAAUGGGUCAGCGACUUAUAUUCUGUAGCAAGGUUAACCGUAUAGGGGAGCCGCAGGGAAACCGAGUCUUAACUGGGCGUUAAGUUGCAGGGUAUAGACCCGAAACCCGGUGAUCUAGCCAUGGGCAGGUUGAAGGUUGGGUAACACUAACUGGAGGACCGAACCGACUAAUGUUGAAAAAUUAGCGGAUGACUUGUGGCUGGGGGUGAAAGGCCAAUCAAACCGGGAGAUAGCUGGUUCUCCCCGAAAGCUAUUUAGGUAGCGCCUCGUGAACUCAUCUUCGGGGGUAGAGCACUGUUUCGGCUAGGGGGUCAUCCCGACUUACCAACCCGAUGCAAACUACGAAUACCGAAGAAUGUUAUCACGGGAGACACACGGCGGGUGCUAACGUCCGUCGUGAAGAGGGAAACAACCCAGACCGCCAGCUAAGGUCCCAAAGUCAUGGUUAAGUGGGAAACGAUGUGGGAAGGCACAGACAGCCAGGAUGUUGGCUUAGAAGCAGCCAUCAUUUAAAGAAAGCGUAAUAGCUCACUGGUCGAGUCGGCCUGCGCGGAAGAUGUAACGGGGCUAAACCAUGCACCGAAGCUGCGGCAGCGACACUAUGUGUUGUUGGGUAGGGGAGCGUUCUGUAAGCCUGCGAAGGUGUGCUGUGAGGCAUGCUGGAGGUAUCAGAAGUGCGAAUGCUGACAUAAGUAACGAUAAAGCGGGUGAAAAGCCCGCUCGCCGGAAGACCAAGGGUUCCUGUCCAACGUUAAUCGGGGCAGGGUGAGUCGACCCCUAAGGCGAGGCCGAAAGGCGUAGUCGAUGGGAAACAGGUUAAUAUUCCUGUACUUGGUGUUACUGCGAAGGGGGGACGGAGAAGGCUAUGUUAGCCGGGCGACGGUUGUCCCGGUUUAAGCAUGUAGGCUGGUUGUCCAGGCAAAUCCGGAUAAUCAAGGCUGAGGUGUGAUGACGAGGCACUACGGUGCUGAAGUAACAAAUGCCCUGCUUCCAGGAAAAGCCUCUAAGCAUCAGGUAACAUCAAAUCGUACCCCAAACCGACACAGGUGGUCAGGUAGAGAAUACCAAGGCGCUUGAGAGAACUCGGGUGAAGGAACUAGGCAAAAUGGUGCCGUAACUUCGGGAGAAGGCACGCUGGUGUGUAGGUGAAGCCCCUGCGGGUGGAGCUGAGACCAGUCGAAGAUACCAGCUGGCUGCAACUGUUUAUUAAAAACACAGCACUGUGCAAACACGAAAGUGGACGUAUACGGUGUGACGCCUGCCCGGUGCCGGAAGGUUAAUUGAUGGGGUUAUCCGUAAGGAGAAGCUCUUGAUCGAAGCCCCGGUAAACGGCGGCCGUAACUAUAACGGUCCUAAGGUAGCGAAAUUCCUUGUCGGGUAAGUUCCGACCUGCACGAAUGGCGUAAUGAUGGCCAGGCUGUCUCCACCCGAGACUCAGUGAAAUUGAACUCGCUGUGAAGAUGCAGUGUACCCGCGGCAAGACGGAAAGACCCCGUGAACCUUUACUAUAGCUUGACACUGAACAUUGAGCCUUGAUGUGUAGGAUAGGUGGGAGGCUUUGAAGCGUGGACGCCAGUCUGCGUGGAGCCAACCUUGAAAUACCACCCUUUAAUGUUUGAUGUUCUAACGUUGGCCCCUUACCGGGGUUGCGGACAGUGUCUGGUGGGUAGUUUGACUGGGGCGGUCUCCUCCCAAAGCGUAACGGAGGAGCACGAAGGUUAGCUAAUCCUGGUCGGACAUCAGGAGGUUAGUGCAAUGGCAUAAGCUAGCUUGACUGCGAGCGUGACGGCGCGAGCAGGUGCGAAAGCAGGUCAUAGUGAUCCGGUGGUUCUGAAUGGAAGGGCCAUCGCUCAACGGAUAAAAGGUACUCCGGGGAUAACAGGCUGAUACCGCCCAAGAGUUCAUAUCGACGGCGGUGUUUGGCACCUCGAUGUCGGCUCAUC